rnacentral:lncRNA from 1 species
AGAGAGAGGGGGGGAAGGCUGCAUAACCAGACAGAGAGAGAGCGAGAGUGGGGAGGGUGCAUAACCAGACAGAGAGAGAGAGAGAGAGAGAGAGAGGAGUGUGGAUAACAAGACAGCGAGAGAGAGAGGGGGGAGGGUGGAUAACCAGAGAGAGAGAGGGAGAGGUGCAUAACCAGAGAGAGAGAGAGCGAGAGAGAGGGUGCAUAACCAGACAGAGAGAGAGGGGGGAGGAGAGAGAGGAAGAGAGAGAGAGAGGGAAGGGUGGAUAAUGAGACAGAGAGAGAGAGAGGAGAGGGUGGAUAACCAGACGUAGAGAGGAGGGUGGAUAACCAGACGUAGAGAGGAGAGGGUGGAUAACCAGAUGUAGAGAGGAGAGGGUGGAUAACCAGACAUAGAGAGGAGGGUGGAUAACCAGAUGUAGAGAGGAGAGGGUGGAUAACCAGACGUAGAGAGGAGAGGGUGGAUAACCAGACAGAGAGGAGAGGGUGGAUAACCAGACGUAGAGAGGAGAGGGUGGAUAACCAGAUGUAGAGAGGAGAGGGUGGAUAACCAGACAUAGAGAGGAGGGUGGAUAACCAGAUGUAGAGAGGAGAGGGUGGAUAACCAGACGUAGAGAGGAGAGGGUGGAUAACCAGACGUAGAGAGGAGAGGGUGGAUAACCAGACAGAGAGAGGAGAGGGUGGAUAACCAGAUGUAGAGAGGAGAGGGUGGAUAACCAGACGUAGAGAGGAGGGUGGAUAACCAGACGUAGAGAGGAGAGGGUGGAUAACCAGAUGUAGAGAGGAGAGGGUGGAUAACCAGACGUAGAGAGGGGAGGGUGGAUAACCAGAGGCAGAGAGGGGAGGGUGGAUAACCAGACGUAGAGCCUGAGAGAGGGAGGAGAGAGGAGAGACAGGCCAAGAGAAAGAAAGUGAGAGAGAGAGAUAGAGAGAGAGAGAGAUAGUGAGAGAGAGAGAGAGAGAGAGAUAGUGAGAUAUAGAAAGAGAGAGAGAGAGAAGAUAGUGAGAUAGAGACAAACAAACAGACAUACAAAGAGAGAUAGAGAGAAAGAAGGAGUGAGAGAGAGCGAUUUAUACAUGAAUGACUGUGUGUGUGGGUCUGUGAAUGAGUCUGCUUGCAGAAAGGCUUAUAUGUGUGCCAACAAGUUCUGAAUUGUUUGUGUGUCUGUGUAAUCUGAAGGAAAUAUGUGUCUCCAGUAUGGUCAUACUGUACUGUGACAGUAGAAGUCUAGUAUGCAAAUAUGUAGACCAUCCAAGCUCUGCAGUAGAAGUCUAGUAUGCAAAUAUGUAGAAAAGCCAAGCUCUGCAAUAGGUGUCACUCAUUCCUUCUUCUGUAACGCCAUGACCUCCCAGUAGGUGGACAGAAAAAGUAUUUAUAUGAGGUCUAUAUCACAUGCUAUGCUCUGGUGUCCUCUAACCUGAGCCUAGUGCUGGUCCAGGAGAUAUCUAACCUGAGCCUAGUGCUGGUCCAGGAGAUAUCCAACCUGAGCCUAGUGCUGGUCUAGGAGAUAUCUAACCUGAGCCUAGUGCUAGUACAGGAUAUAUCUAACCUGAGCUUAGUGCUAGUCUAGGAGAUAUCUAACCUGAGCCUAGUGCUAGUCUAGGAGAUAUCUAACCUGAGCUUAGUGCUAGUCUAGGAGAUAUCUAACCUGAGCCUAGUGCUGGUAUAGGAGAUAUCUAACCUGAGCUUAGUGCUAGUACAUGAGAUAUCUAACCUGAGCCUAGUGCUGGUCUAUGAGAUAUCUAACCUGAGCCUAGUGCUAGUACAUGAGAUAUCCAACCUGAGCCUAGAGCUGGUCCAGGAGAUAUAAAACCUGAGCCUAGUGCUAGUACAUGAGAUAUCUAACCUGAGUCUAGUGCUGGUCCAGGAGAUAUCCAACCUGAGCGUAGUGCUGGUCUAUGAGAUAUUUAACCUGAAUCUAGUGCUGGCCUAUGAGAUAUCUAACAUGAGCCUAGUGCUGGUCUAGGAGAUAUCUAACCUGAGCCUAGUGCUGGUCUAUGAGAUAUCCAACCUGAGCGUAGUGCUGGUCUAUGAGAUAUUUAACCUGAAUCUAGUGCUGGCCUAUGAGAUAUCUAACAUGAGCCUAGUGCUGGUCUAGGAGAUAUCUAACCUGAGCCUAGUGCUAGUCUGGGAGAUAUCUAACCUGAGCCUAGUGCUGGUCUGGGAGAUAUAUAACCUGAAUCUAGUGCUGGUCCAGGAGAUAUCCAACCUGAGCCUAGUGCUAGUCUGGGAGAUAUCUAACCUGAGCCUAGUGCUGGUCUGGGAGAUAUCUAACCUGAAUCUAGUGCUGGUCCAGGAGAUAUCCAACCUGAGUCUAGUGCUAGUCUGGGAGAUAUCUAACCUGAGCCUAGUGCUGGUCUGGGAGAUAUCUAACCUGAGCCUAGUGCUGGUCUGGGAGAUAUCUAACCUGAGCCUAGUGCUGGUCUAUGAGAUAUCUAACCUGAGCCUAGUGCUGGUCUGGGAGAUAUCUAACCUGAAUCUAGUGCUGGUCCAGAAGAUAUCUAACCUGAGCCUAGUGCUGGUCCAGAGACGGUAGAAGUGCAUCUCCAACAUGUUCUGGACCGUUGUCCAAUGCUGCUGGAGUCCUUGGUUUUAAGUGUUCACCCAGUAGACGAAUCAGGGUGUAUUAAAUACGCUUGUCACUCUCCACUGGCAGUACACGGGGGAAUGUAUUUUGACAAACUCAGCUCCACAAUACCUAAGUGUCCCUGGCUGACGCCAAGAGAUAAAUACCCCUAAAUUAGGAAAUGGCUUGAAUUUGGCAAAGUAGGCUUUUAAAACAUAGAUGUAUCCCUAUCCCUAUAGUCUAGCUAAGGUCAACAAACAGAAGUUGAGUGACAAGUCAAAUUGGUUAAUCAAAUUUUGUGUCUAAAGCCAAUGGUUCAAUGUCUGACUACUGUAUAUUAUUCAUCUAGUGACAGAAAAACAGCUAUGAUGGUUGUUUACUGACAAGAAAGACAGAAAGAAAGACAGAAAGACAGAAAAAAGAAAGAAAGACAGAAAGAAAGAAAGAAAGAAAGAAAGAAAGA